AGGAAAACUUGCUUCUUGCAUGUUUUUUGAGGGCGUUCUUAGCGGUGCUGCUAUGGAUGCAAAGUUUUUAAUAAAUCGCCUGUACCAACCUGCUGUACCUAGGAAGCUACGUAACUCCUUUACGUUUUCGGAUCAGGAAUCUUCUGCGUGGCGAAGACUCUUUCUGGAUCCAUUUGCAGCUUUCCACCCCAAUGAUAAACCCAAGGCAUUGUGCUACCAAUCGAAGAAAUCGCAGAUGCGUCUGGAAGUCCGGAGCUAUUACCAGAAGAUCGUCCAGAUAGACAAAUACGUUUGAUCGUAGUUGUGUCGGAAUGACUUUGUCCAUCAGACGGCAUAAUCUUUGGACAGCAUUGCAGAGGUCGAAGGGCAUCAUCACGAACUGGUAAAUUGGCCGUCCGGCUACCGUGAAAGCGGUAUACUUCCGGCAUUCCGGUUCCAGAACGCAAAUUUAAGAUCGACGCCUUCGAUACACGGGAGAGGGUAGGCGUCCUUUACGACCACAUCCUGCAUCGCUGGUGAUAGCGGAUAACAACGAUCCUUAAACGGUACUGCGCCCUCCACCAACUGGAUAUGAUGCUGUUCUGCUACAGUCGUUCCUAGCCCGGCUUCUUUGUAAAUCAAAAAUUCCUUCUUCACGUUUUCCAACUCCUCAGCUUCAUUCUUUUUCAGGUCCCAAGCUUCUACCUCCGUUUCUUGUCUUCUAUCUUCCGCAUAGUUGCUGAUCUGGGACAUCUUGACUUCAGCUACUUGGGUGGGACUGGAUUCGCUGAUCUCGUCGCCUAGAACUGCUGGAACCAACUUAAAAGAUC